AUUGAACGCUGGCGGCAUGCCUUACACAUGCAAGUCGAACGGCAGCACGGGUGCUUGCACCUGGUGGCGAGUGGCGAACGGGUGAGUAAUACAUCGGAACAUGUCCUGUAGUUGGGGAUAGCCCGGCGAAAGCCGGAUUAAUACCGCAUACGAUCUACGGAUGAAAGCGGGGGACCUUCGGGCCUCGCGCUAUAGGGUUGGCCGAUGGCUGAUUAGCUAGUUGGUGGGGUAAAGGCCUACCAAGGCGACGAUCAGUAGCUGGUCUGAGAGGACGACCAGCCACACUGGGACUGAGACACGGCCCAGACUCCUACGGGAGGCAGCAGUGGGGAAUUUUGGACAAUGGGCGAAAGCCUGAUCCAGCAAUGCCGCGUGUGUGAAGAAGGCCUUCGGGUUGUAAAGCACUUUUGUCCGGAAAGAAAUCCUUGGCUCUAAUACAGUCGGGGGAUGACGGUACCGGAAGAAUAAGCACCGGCUAACUACGUG
rnacentral:rRNA from 1 species